GGUCCUGUCGAACUCAGCUGGUAGAGCAUGGCCUUAACAAGGCCAGGCUUAGGGGUUCCAUUCCAACUGGCUCCA